AACAGGCCUAACUUGAAAUUUAACAAAUAUAACUUCUUCUCGAUCUUCCAUUCUUAAUUUUUCUUCCGUUGGUUUUCAAUCCACAAGAUGAUACUCUUGGCAAACGUGCCAGACAUUAAUCUUACUGUAGUCUUCUCCCCAAGUGCUUCAGCUAGAACAAACUUUACGAUCACCCUGGUCGUACAAUCAUAUACAUUAAACAAUUAAAUUUACCUUCGCUACCUUAGAUCAAAAUCCUUCCGAGUAAUGGAUAUUGAAGACUUUUUGGAUUCGUAAAAAUCUUGCAUUCUUACCAAAUAUAAUGCCUUCAUAACUUCACAGCAAGGAUGGUAAUCGUGAUUUCCAAAUCACCAGUAGGGUAAUUCAUCUCAUGAGGUUCCAUUUAUCGUGAAACGUAUGCAAUCACCCUAACAUUUGCAUCAACAUGCCUCCAAUACCAUUCAAGAAACAUCACUAAAAAUUUAUGAUUACCACUAUUAUUUGGGAAUACCAAAAUACGUGCAUGAGUGAGGAAAUACUUCAAUUGUUGAAUCCUUUGCUCACAAUUUCCUUCCCACUCAUACAUAACCUCUUUUCUCAACAGUCU
rnacentral:lncRNA from 1 species